rnacentral:rRNA from 1 species
GACGAACGCUGGCGGCGCGCUUAAUACAUGCAAGUCGAGCGAGAACCAGGACUUCGGUCCUGGGGACAGCGGCGAACGGGUGAGUAACACGUGAGUAAUCUGCCCUCAGCACCGGGAUAGCCCAGGGAAACUUGGAUUAAUACCGGAUAGCCCGACAGCCUUUCGGGGCGGUCGGAAAAGGUAGCUUUGGCCUCUGGCUGAGGAUGAGCUCGCGGCGGAUUAGCUUGUUGGCGGGGUAAGGCCCACCAAGGCGACGAUCCGUAGCUGGUCUGAGAGGACGAUCAGCCACACUGGGACUGAGACACGGCCCAGACUCCUACGGGAGGCAGCGGUGGGGAAUAUUGCACAAUGGGCGGAAGCCUGAUGCAGCGACGCCGCGUGAGGGA